rfam:Anopheles farauti strain FAR1 unplaced genomic scaffold supercont2.122, whole genome shotgun sequence.
GAAACGGUUCUUUUCAGGACCACCAAAUUAAAAAAAAUUGAAUUU